rnacentral:lncRNA from 1 species
UUCACAAGGAGAAUGGGAGGGGCCCUCAGGAGAUUCGCAGGAGGGUGCUGGCUCAUUAGGCACAGGAGGAAUCCCCCUGGAACAGAGGGGCAGUGGCCAGGGAGAGAGCUGCACAGCCUCGGGAAUUGGGAGUAUGAUGAUGGGUGGUUGGGAGAGAUGAGGGCAGAAAUGCGGGGGGGUCAGCCAAGAUUUGCAUUCUCUGGUUGAGCCCCUCCCUGGUCCCACACACAGAAGAGCCCCCAGCAAGCUGCUCACCCCAAGGAAACAAGGAAGUUUCUCUGAAGAAAUCAGGGUGAGCCGGGCUGCCUUAACACUUGGUUGGGGCCUGCGGUGGACCGCUGCUGCUUCUGCCACUCAGCAUCCAUUUUCCCUUGUUCUGGUCAAGGAAUCUGUGCGUGUCCUCUGGGGAGCUAGCCCUCUCUUAUUUUUGGUCCAUGAGGUCAGGCUGUGACCGCCCCCUCUCCUGGCCCUAUGAGGCGACGUGAUGUGCCGUGUGGUUCUUUCCAGUGCAGGCCGAGGACCACAUUCUGAGUGGCUGGGAGACAGCUCGCUCUCCUCCUGUGACCCUGAAGGCUUGAGGCUGAGUGUGGAGCCGUCGCACAUGUGGAGCUGUCCCACGGAACCUGAGACGAGCCACCCCGAUGGGGCAGGACCGAGGGGAACAGAGCCAGAGCCCGGGAGGAUGGAGGUGUAGACGACGGUGGAGUAGCACAAGGUGACCACCAGGAGGUGCGAGGAGCAGGUGGAGAAGGCCCGCCGCCGGCCCGCGGCUGAGCGGACGCGCAGGAUGCUGGCGAUGAUGCAGCCGUAGGACGCCAGGGUGAGCAGGAAGUUGACCACGCCAAAGUAGACGUCUGCUAUGACGAUCAUGAUGUCAUUCAGGGUCGUUGGGCUGCAGGAGAGCAGCAGCAGCGUGGGGACUUCACACAGAAAGUGACAGAUCUGAUUAGGGCCACAGAAACUCAGCCUUGUCAUCAGGCCAGUGUGCAAGAGGUGCUGAAUGCACUGACCGUCCACACGCUGCCCGCCAGCAGGGCGCAGACAGGCCAGCUCAUCAGCCUGCGGUAGUGCAGCGGGUGGCAGAUGGCCACGUAGCAGUCAUAGGCCAUGAGCAUGAGCAGCAGGAGCUCGGCCCCCAGAAACCACGUCAGGAAGAAGAGCUGGGUCAUGCAGCCCCCAUA